AAAAUUCUAAUAUUAUUUCACUAGUGAUUUCUGUUUGAUCCUGGCGGAGGCUACUGCUAUUGGGAUUCGAUUAAGCCAUGCAAGUUGAAUGAAUUUAGAUUCAUGGCGUACGGCUCAGUAACACGUGGAUAACUUACCCUUAGGACUGGGAUAACUCUGGGAAACUGGGGAUAAUACCGGAUAUUAGGCUAUGUCUGCAAUGGUUUGCCUUUGAAAUGUUUUUUUUCGCCUAAGGAUAGAUCUGCGGCUGAUUAGGUCGUUGGUGGGGUAAUGGCCCACCAAGCCGAUGAUCGGUACGGGUUGUGAGAGCAAGGGCCCGGAGAUGGAACCUGAGACAAGGUUCCAGACCCUACGGGGUGCAGCAGGCGCGAAACCUCCGCAAUGUACGAAAGUGCGACGGGGGGAUCCCAAGUGUUAUGCUUAAAGGUAUGACUUUUCAUUAGUGUAAAAAGCUUUUAGAAUAAGAGCUGGGCAAGACCGGUGCCAGCCGCCGCGGUAACACCGGCAGCUCGAGUGGUAGCUGUUUUUAUUGGGCCUAAAGCGUUCGUAGCCGGUUUAAUAAGUCUUUGGUGAAAGCUUGUAGCUAAACUAUAAGAAUUGCUGGAGAUACUAUUAGACUUGAAGUCGGGAGAGGUUAGAGGUACUACCGGGGGUAGGGGUGAAAU
rnacentral:rRNA from 1 species